rnacentral:lncRNA from 7 species
GCUCCACACACCCCUGGCCUUUCCCACCAAAUCCUGUUGGAAUUCUUCUUUCUCUGCUACUGAUUUUUUUUUUUUUGCGAUACCCUGGAAUUACUUUCUCAGUUAUACGUUGUGUUUAGCUCUGAUCCAUGCAAGCAUGCACAUCCAGGAUUACUGGACCUGGAAGACCAAAAUAGGAUCACUGACAAUGUAUACUUGCUGUUGGCAUCUGACUAAGUCUCUCAGGCCCACUUCGUUGAGGUGGUAAAUGCUUUCAACUGCUCCUGAAGCUGAAAGGAGUUCCUCUGUGAAGGUGCAAGCUGCAAAGGAUAUUCCUAGCCUUACCUUACUAUGCGCAGAAAACUUUAGGUAGAUUAUUCUUACAUGCAGCAGCUGUUCAUGCAUUUUUCUUAAAAUCUGGUAUGUGAGAACAAAAUAUUUUAGUUUAGCAAGUCAGAUGCAAUAUCUUAUUGGAACUGUAUUAAGAUUUUUUUCUCCUUUCUUAACAUGUUCUUGUGGGGUGAAGUCUGCAGCCAGACUCUGUUCUUCAACAUUGUUCUCAGGGAUCAUGUAAGGAAACAAGUUCUUCUUACUAUUGUUUUGCUCAGACAGCUUGGGCUACGGAGGAGGAUGGGAAUAUUAAGAUUAUGAACUACAGCUGCCUGAGAUAGUGUGGUAGUAUUUCAUUACUGAAGUAUUUUAAUUGUGAGCCAAAAUAUUUCGGAUUUUGUUUACUUUUGAAGUUGAAAUUUUCCACUGUUUAAUUUCUUUAAAUAACAUUCAGGCUGUGCAGUCUGAAAAUGGCCUUAGGUAUCUCACACUGGACAUCCAAAAUUAAUGAAGAUAUUUUUCCAUAGUUUCCUCAAGUUACAGUUACUGGUUUUAACAAAAGGCAUACUAAUAGAACUUCACCAUUACGACAAAAAUGUCAAAAUAUGUGAAUAUAGAAACAUAAACUCUUAGAAAAAAUUGUUGUAAAAAUAGAAGUGUGUACAGAUAAGAUUGUUGGAGGGUCAUAAUUCCAAAUUAAACAAUUUUGGUUGGAAUGUAUCUUGGUAUUUUCUAAAAGCUUGAGUUCGUAUAAUAGAUAUGUAUUAGGAUCUGGUGAAGCUACUGUAAGAGCAUUGCAAAUAUUGACAAGAAUAAACGUAUGACCUC